GAUGAACUAAAAUGAACCCGGCAAGCGCUUUUUAUUUUUUACGACGUUGUGAUAUACAAACAUUUUAGUGUAUUGGUUUGUUCCUGAUUGCUGCUAUUUUUGCCAUACAAAUGUUGAGCACUAGAGGGCGCCCGAUCACCAAGUGGCUAUAAGAGCUCACCGAACACGUGAGCUUUAUUAUGGAAAGGCUUUCCAGUCAGUGGAGCCUUGGAGACCAGGCUGGGCUGGAGCCCAUGCCCAUGCCCGCCACCUUGAGCCGGAGAAGUUUGCUGUGGCAAAAGCUUUUGCAAGCAUGGAGAACCUUGGAAUAACCUGCGGGUCCAACAGCUCGUGGUACACACAUGGUCCUGAAGCCAAAGGGGGCAGCGCCGCCUUGGGUACUACCGCCUUCUCAAUGACGCCACUACCCCUGACAAGUAUCUGGUCCCGCACAUACAGGACUGGGAUGGACAUAUUCUCCAAAGUGGAUUUGGAUCAGAUCUUCAAUCAUGGGCCUGUGCGCCCAGAAUACAUC
ensembl:lncRNA